rnacentral:rRNA from 1 species
CGCGUAGGCGGCCGAUCAAGUCAGGCGUGAAAGCCCCGGGCUCAACCUGGGAAUGGCGCUUGGGACUGGUUGGCUUGAGUUCGGGAGAGGAGAGUGGAAUUCCCAGUGUAGAGGUGAAAUUCGUAGAUAUUGGGAAGAACACCGGUGGCGAAGGCGGCUCUCUGGACCGAGACUGACGCUGAGGCGCGAAAGCGUGGGGAGAAC